UUCGUGCUUUCACUGAAUUGUCUUAUUUUUACAAAAUAUCAAAAAAUUGCGUACGAUUUUGCUAUUGAUUGUGAAUACCUUCUCGGCGGAGCCACAAGAGCGCACAGGAGUCGUCGCGUGCUGCACUGCCUGGCAGCGUGUUGGCGCGGCCGGCAGCGGCGAUGGAUAGGCCGAUGGCGGCCGGGCGGCUGGGCGGCGCGCCUCUGUACGGCCAGCCGCCGCCGCCGGAGCCGCCGCUGGCCAUGCUGCUGCAGCGGGUACAGCACGGUGACCCGCCGCCGCCCUCCCAGGACACCCAG